rnacentral:rRNA from 1 species
GAUGAACGCUGGCGGCGUGCCUAACACAUGCAAGUCGAGCGAAGCGGGGAGGGGUGAGUAAAACGUCUAUAACCUCCUAUAAGACUGGGAUAAAUUCGGGAAACCGGAGCCAAACCCGAUACUUAUAGCUGGUUCCGAGUGGCAUUAGCUAGUGGGUAAGGUAACGGCUUACCAAGGCAAUGAUGCAUAGGCGACCUGAAAGGAGGAUCAGCCAAACUGGAACUGAGACACGGUCCAGACUCCUACGGGAGGCAGCAGUGGGGAAUAUUCCACAAUGGGCGAAAGCCUGACGGAGCAAUGCCGCGUGAGUGAAGAAGGUCUUCGGAUCGUAAAGCUCUGUUAGUAGGGAAGCGGUACCUAAUCAGAAAGCAACGGCUAACUACGUGCCAGCAGCCGCGGUAAUAC